UAGAGGUGGCGGAGACAGGAACGGAGCCAAGGCUGUGGAGGCGGGAAGGGAGAUGCAGCC
rnacentral:sRNA from 1 species